CCUACGGGGAGCAGCAGUGAGGAAUAGUGGUCAAUGGACGGAAGUCUGAACCAGCCAUGCCGCGUGCAGGAAGACGGCUCUAUGAGUUGUAAACUGCUUUUGUACAAGGGUAAACCGGAAUACGUGUAUGCAGCUGAAAGUACGGUACGAAUAAGGAUCGGCUAACUCCGUGCCAGCAGCCGCGGUAAUACGGAGGAUCCAAGCGUUAUCCGGAUUGAUGGGGUUUAAAGGGUGCGUAGGCGGAUUGAUAAGUUAGAGGUGAAAUGUCCGAGCUUAACUCGGGAACGGCCUCUAAUACUGUUGUUCUAGUGCGUAGCUGCGUUAGGCGUACUGUCUGGUGUAGCGG
rnacentral:rRNA from 1 species